UGGGGGAUAUUGCACAAUGGGCGAAAGCCUGAUGCAGCGACGCCGCGUGGGGGAUGAAGGCUUUCGGGUUGUAAACCUCUUUCGCUAUCGAACAAGGCCCGCUUAGGGUGGGUUGAGGGUAGGUGGAGAAGAAGCGCCGGCUAACUACGUGCCAGCAGCCGCGGUAAUACGUAGGGCGCGAGCGUUGUCCGGAAUUAUUGGGCGUAAAGGGCUUGUAGGCGGCUUGUUGCGCCUGCUGUGAAAACGCGGGGCUUAACUUCGCGCGUGCAGUGGGUACGGGCAGGCUUGAGUGUGGUAGGGGUGACUGGAAAUCCAGGUGUAGCGGUGGAAUGCGCAGAUAUCUGGAGGAACACCGAUGGCGAAGGCAGGGCACUGGGCCAUUACUGACGCUGAGGAGCGAAAGCAUGGGUAGCGAACAGG
rnacentral:rRNA from 1 species